rnacentral:rRNA from 1 species
GAUGAACGCUGGCGGCGUGCCUAACACAUGCAAGUCGAGCGAACAGAUGAGGAGCUUGCUCCUCUGACGUUAGCGGCGGACGGGUGAGUAACAUGUGGACAACCUAACUAUAAGACUGGGAUAACUUCGGGAAACCGGAGCUAAUACCGGAUAAUAUAUUGAACCGCAUGGUUCAAUAGUGAAAGACGGUUUUGCUGUCACUUAUAGAUGGAUCCGCGCCGCAUUAGCUAGUUGGUAAGGUAACGGCUUACCAAGGCAACGAUGCGUAGCCGACCUGAGAGGGUGAUCAGCCACACUGGAACUGAGACACGGUCCAGACUCCUACGGGAGGCAGCAGUAGGGAAUCUUCCGCAAUGGGCGAAAGCCUGACGGAGCAACGCCGCGUGAGUGAUGAAGGUCUUCGGAUCGUAAAACUCUGUUGUUAGGAAAGAACAAAUGUGUAAGUAACUAUGCACGUCUUGACGGUACCUGAUCAAAAAGCCACGGCUAACUACGUG